rnacentral:snRNA from 1 species
GAGUGUUUCGGCACUUUUAGAAUUUAUCUAGUGGGUUUUCUUAUUUUUACUGGAAACCAGC